rnacentral:rRNA from 1 species
GAUGAACGCUGGCGGCGUGCCUAACACAUGCAAGUCGAGCGAUUCUCUUCGGAGAAGAGCGGCGGACGGGUGAGUAACGCGUGGGUAACCUGCCCUGUACACACGGAUAACAUACCGAAAGGUAUGCUAAUACGAGAUAAUAUACUUUUAUCGCAUGGUAGAAGUAUCAAAGCUCCGGCGGUACAGGAUGGACCCGCGUCUGAUUAGCUAGUUGGUAAGGUAACGGCUUACCAAGGCGACGAUCAGUAGCCGACCUGAGAGGGUGAUCGGCCACAUUGGAACUGAGACACGGUCCAAACUCCUACGGGAGGCAGCAGUGGGGAAUAUUGCACAAUGGGCGAAAGCCUGAUGCAGCAACGCCGCGUGAGCGAUGAAGGCCUUCGGGUCGUAAAGCUCUGUCCUCAAGGAAGAUAAUGACGGUACUUGAGGAGGAAGCCCCGGCUAACUACGUGCCAGCAGCCGCCGUAACAC